rnacentral:ncRNA from 2 species
UACGUGCUCCGGGGUCGGUGCAAUUCCGAGCCGGCGGUGACAGUCCGCGACCCGGCCCGUGCAGCAGCCUCGGCUGCGGCGGGACGGUUGACCUGGUGGAACUCCAGGACCGACGGUGAAAGUCCGGAUGGGAGGAAGCACGUG